UGUGAACUCGAAGAGUAGGGCGGGACACGUGGUAUCCUGUCUGAAUAUGGGGGGACCAUCCUCCAAGGCUAAAUACUCCUGACUGACCGAUAGUGAACCAGUACCGUGAGGGAAAGGCGAAAAGAACCCCGGCGAGGGGAGUGAAAAAGAACCUGAAACCGUGUACGUACAAGCAGUGGGAGCCUCUUUAUGGGGUGACUGCGUACCUUUUGUAUAAUGGGUCAGCGACUUAUAUUCUGUAGCAAGGUUAACCGUAUAGGGGAGCCGAAGGGAAACCGAGUCUUAACUGGGCGUUAAGUUGCAGGGUAUAGACCCGAAACCCGGUGAUCUAGCCAUGGGCAGGUUGAAGGUUGGGUAACACUAACUGGAGGACCGAACCGACUAAUGUUGAAAAAUUAGCGGAUGACCUGUGGCUGGGGGUGAAAGGCCAAUCAAACCGGGAGAUAGCUGGUUCUCCCCGAAAGCUAUUUAGGUAGCGCCUCGUGAACUCAUCUUCGGGGGUAGAGCACUGUUUCGGCUAGGGGGCCAUCCCGGCUUACCAACCCGAUGCAAACUACGAAUACCGAAGAAUGUUAUCACGGGAGACACACGGCGGGUGCUAACGUCCGUCGUGAAGAGGGAAACAACCCAGACCGCCAGCUAAGGUCCCAAAGUCAUGGUUAAGUGGGAAACGAUGUGGGAAGGCACAGACAGCCAGGAUGUUGGCUUAGAAGCAGCCAUCAUUUAAAGAAAGCGUAAUAGCUCACUGGUCGAGUCGGCCUGCGCGGAAGAUGUAACGGGGCUAAACCAUGCACCGAAGCUGCGGCAGCGACGCUUAUGCGUUGUUGGGUAGGGGAGCGUUCUGUAAGCCGUUGAAGGUGUGCUGUGAGGCAUGCUGGAGGUAUCAGAAGUGCGAAUGCUGACAUAAGUAACGAUAAAGCGGGUGAAAAGCCCGCUCGCCGGAAGACCAAGGGUUCCUGUCCAACGUUAAUCGGGGCAGGGUGAGUCGACCCCUAAGGCGAGGCCGAAAGGCGUAGUCGAUGGGAAACAGGUUAAUAUUCCUGUACUUGGUGUUACUGCGAAGGGGGGACGGAGAAGGCUAUGUCAGCCGGGCGACGGUUGUCCCGGUUUAAGCAUGUAGGCGGAGGUUCCAGGUAAAUCCGGUACCUUAUUAACGCUGAGGUGUGAUGACGAGGCACUACGGUGCUGAAGUGAUAAAUGCCCUGCUUCCAGGAAAAGCCUCUAAGCAUCAGGUAACACGAAAUCGUACCCCAAACCGACACAGGUGGUCAGGUAGAGAAUACCAAGGCGCUUGAGAGAACUCGGGUGAAGGAACUAGGCAAAAUGGUGCCGUAACUUCGGGAGAAGGCACGCUGAUAUGUAGGUGAAGCCCCUGCGGGCGGAGCUGAAAUCAGUCGAAGAUACCAGCUGGCUGCAACUGUUUAUUAAAAACACAGCACUGUGCAAACACGAAAGUGGACGUAUACGGUGUGACGCCUGCCCGGUGCCGGAAGGUUAAUUGAUGGGGUUAGCGGCAACGCGAAGCUCUUGAUCGAAGCCCCGGUAAACGGCGGCCGUAACUAUAACGGUCCUAAGGUAGCGAAAUUCCUUGUCGGGUAAGUUCCGACCUGCACGAAUGGCGUAAUGAUGGCCAGGCUGUCUCCACCCGAGACUCAGUGAAAUUGAACUCGCUGUGAAGAUGCAGUGUACCCGCGGCAAGACGGAAAGACCCCGUGAACCUUUACUAUAGCUUGACACUGAACACUGGUCCUUGAUGUGUAGGAUAGGUGGGAGGCUUUGAAGCGUGGACGCCAGUCUGCGUGGAGCCAUCCUUGAAAUACCACCCUUUAAUGGCUGGUGUUCUAACGUAGACCCGUGAUCCGGGUUGCGGACAGUGUCUGGUGGGUAGUUUGACUGGGGCGGUCUCCUCCCAAAGAGUAACGGAGGAGCACGAAGGUUGGCUAAUCCUGGUCGGACAUCAGGAGGUUAGUGCAAUGGCAUAAGCCAGCUUGACUGCGAGCGUGACGGCGCGAGCAGGUGCGAAAGCAGGUCAUAGUGAUCCGGUGGUUCUGAAUGGAAGGGCCAUCGCUCAACGGAUAAAAGGUACUCCGGGGAUAACAGGCUGAUACCGCCCAAGAGUUCAUAUCGACGGCGGUGUUUGGCACCUCGAUGUCGGCUCAUCACAUCCUGGGGCUGAAGUAGGUCCCAAGGGUAUGGCUGUUCGCCAUUUAAAGUGGUACGCGAGCUGGGUUUAGAACGUCGUGAGACAGUUCGGUCCCUAUCUGCCGUGGGCGCUGGAGAAUUGAGGGGGGCUGCUCCUAGUACGAGAGGACCGGAGUGGACGCAUCACUGGUGUUCGGGUUGUCAUGCCAAUGGCACUGCCCGGUAGCUAAAUGCGGAAGAGAUAAGUGCUGAAAGCAUCUAAGCACGAAACUUGCCCCGAGAUGAGUUCUCCCUGAGAC
rnacentral:rRNA from 1 species